UUUGCUCAUAUUCAUGUUACACAAGGGUGAAAGCACAAAGUAAAAGUUGAAAACAUCAAGAUUCCACUUUUAUUUUGUGCACUAUUCUUACACCUGCAAUAUACAUUAAAACAACAGUUCUUCAAAGCAUUCACAAUGUGAAGCAACACUGGGAUUACUUUAAUUAGACCAAAACCAAUCAGACCUCGUGUCUGCAUUUUGCGGUGAUUCUGUAUAACUUUGGGCUCAUCGCACUGGCUCAUCCCAGUGACAUAGCUUUCAAGUGUCUGCCUUAUCAACUGUUGACGGUAAGUUACACGUCUAGCAUGGCCGUAACAAGUGAUGGGGAAUCGGGGUUCGAUUCCGGAGAGGGAGCCUGAGAAACAGCUACCACAUCCAAGGAAGGUAGCAGGUUCUGGGAGCAGCAACUACCCACUCCCAGAACAGAGAGGUAGUGAAGAAAA
rfam:Stegodyphus mimosarum contig116960, whole genome shotgun sequence.